ensembl:lncRNA
UCUGUCUCCCUCCCUCUCUCUCUCUUUCUCUCAGCAUGACUUCUGAACGAGGUAUCUGUCUCCCUCCCUCUCUCUUUCUCUCAGCAUGACUUCUGAACGAGGUAUCUGUCUCCAUUCCUCUCUCUUUCUCUCAGCAUGACUUCUGAACGAGGUAUCUGUCUCCCUCCCUCUCUCUCUCUUUCUUUCUUUCAGCAUGACUUCUGAACGAGGUAUCUGUCUCCCUCCCUCUCUCUCUCUUUCUCUCAGCAUGACAUCUGAAUGAGGUAUCUGUCUCCCUCUCUCUCUUUCUCUCAGCAUGACUUCUGAACGAGGUAUCUGUCUCCCUCCCUCUCUCUCUCUUUCUCUCAGCAUGACUUCUGAAUGAGGUAUCUGUCUCCCUCCCUCUCUCUCUCAGCAUGACUUCUGAACGAGGUAUCUGUCUCCCUCCCUCCCUCUCUCUCUCUUUGUCUCAGCAUGACUUCUGAACGAGAUAUCUGUCUCCCUCCCUCUCUCUCUCUUUCUCUCAGCAUGACUUCUGAACGAGGUAUCUGUCUCCCUCCCUCUCUCUCUCUUUC